rnacentral:rRNA from 1 species
UAGGGAAUCUUCCGCAAUGGACGAAAGUCUGACGGAGCAACGCCGCGUGAGUGAUGAAGGUUUUCGGAUCGUAAAACUCUGUUGUUAGGGAAGAACAAGUUGGGUAGUAACUGACCCAACCUUGACGGUACCUAACCAGAAAGCCACGGCUAACUACGUGCCAGCAGCCGCGGUAAUACGUAGGUGGCAAGCGUUGUCCGGAAUUAUUGGGCGUAAAGCGCUCGCAGGCGGUCUUUUAAGUCUGAUGUGAAAGCCCACGGCUUAACCGUGGAGGGUCAUUGGAAACUGGAGGACUUGAGUACAGAAGAGGAGAGUGGAAUUCCACGUGUAGCGGUGGAAUGCGUAGAGAUGUGGAGGAACACCAGUGGCGAAGGCGACUCUCUGGUCUGUAACUGACGCUGAGGAGCGAAAGCGUGGGUAGCGAACAGG